rnacentral:rRNA from 1 species
GACAGAGGAUGCAAGCGUUAUCCGGAAUGAUUGGGCGUAAAGCGUCUGUAGGUGGCUUUUUAAGUCCGCCGUCAAAUCCCAGGGCUCAACCCUGGACAGGCGGUGGAAACUACCAAGCUGGAGCACUGUAGAGGCAGGCGGAAUUCCGGGUGUAGCGGUGGAAUGCGUAGAGAUCCGGAAGAACACCGGUGGCGAAGGCGGCCUGCUGGGCAGUUGCUGACACUGAGGCGCGACAGCGUGGGGAGCAAACAGG